UACGUAGGGCGCAAGCGUUGCUCGGAAUGACUGGGCGUAAAGGGCGCGUAGGCGGAUUGUACGGUCAGGUGUGAAAUUCCCGGGCUUAACCUGGGGGCUGCACUUGAUACGUAGGAUCUGGAGUGAGGAAGAGGGUCGUGGAAUUCCCAGUGUAGAGGUGAAAUUCGUAGAUAUUGGGAAGAACACCGGUGGCGAAGGCGGCGACCUAGUCCUUUUACUGACGCUGAGGCGCGAAAGCGUGGGGAGCAAACAGG
rnacentral:rRNA from 1 species